GACGUAGGGGGCGAGCGUUGUCCGGAUUUAUUGGGCGUAAAGAGCUCGUAGGCGGCUCGUUGCGUCGGCUGUGAAAACCCGCAGCUCAACUGUGGGCUUGCAGCCGAUACGGGCGGGCUGGAGUUCGGUAGGGGAGACUGGAAUUCCUGGUGUAGCGGUGAAAUGCGCAGAUAUCAGGAGGAACACCGGUGGCGAAGGCGGGUCUCUGGGCCGAUACUGACGCUGAGGAGCGAAAGCCAGGGGAGCAAACGGG
rnacentral:rRNA from 1 species